rnacentral:rRNA from 1 species
UAAGGAAUAUUGGUCAAUGGACGCAAGUCUGAACCAGCCAUGCCGCGUGAAGGAUGAAGGUCCUCUGGAUUGUAAACUUCUUUUAUCUGGGACGAAAACGGGAUUUUUAUCUCAAUUGACGGUACCAGAGGAAUAAGCACCGGCUAACUCCGUGCCAGCAGCCGCGGUAAUACGGAGGGUGCGAGCGUUAUCCGGAUUUACUGGGUUUAAAGGGUGCGUAGGUGGGCUUAUAAGUCAGUGGUGAAAUCUCCGAGCUUAACUUGGAAACUGCCGUUGAUACUAUAGGUCUUGAAUUAUCUGGAGGUAAGCGGAAUAUGUCAUGUAGCGGUGAAACGCUUAGAUAUGACAUAGAACACCAAUUGCGAAGGCAGCUUACUACAUAUAAAUUGACGCUGAGGCACGAAAGCGUGGGGAUCAAACA